UGAAGCCAGUGAGGGCAGGAGAACCUACC
rnacentral:piRNA from 1 species